rnacentral:misc_RNA from 1 species
AGCAGCCGCGGUAAUUCCAGCUCCAAUAGCGUAUAUUAAAGUUGUUGCAGUUAAAAAGCUCGUAGUUGAAUUUCGGGGUUAGUAGGUUGGUCAUGCCUCUGGUAUGUACUGGUCUCACUGAUUCCUCCUUCCUGAUGAGCCGUAAUGCCAUUAUUGAUGUUGCGGGAUUGGAUCUGUUACUUUGAAAAAAUUAGAGUGUUUAAAGCAAGCAUAACGCUUGAAUACAUUAGCAUGGAAUAAUGAAAUAGGACGUUCGAUCCUAUUUUGUUGGUUUCUAGGAUUGACGUAAUGAUUAAUAGGGAUAGUUGGGGGCAUUAGUAUUCAAUUGUCAGAGGUGAAAUUCUUGGAUUUAUUGAAGACUAACUACUGCGAAAGCAUUUGCCAAGGAUGUUUUCAUUAAUCAAGAACGAAAGUUAGGGGAUCGAAGACGAUCAGAUACCGUCGUAGUCUUAACCAUAAACUAUGCCGACUAGGGAUCGGAUGAUGUUAAUUUUUUCAAUGACUCAUUCGGCGCCUUACG